UACGUAGGGUGCAAGCGUUAAUCGGAAUUACUGGGCGUAAAGCGUGCGCAGGCGGUUCGGUAAGAAAGAUGUGAAAUCCCAGAGCUUAACUUUGGAACUGCAUUUUUAACUACCGGGCUAGAGUGUGUCAGAGGGAGGUGGAAUUCCGCGUGUAGCAGUGAAAUGCGUAGAUAUGCGGAGGAACACCGAUGGCGAAGGCAGCCUCCUGGGAUAACACUGACGCUCAUGCACGAAAGCGUGGGGAGCAAACAGG
rnacentral:rRNA from 1 species